AAAUUGAAGAGUUUGAUCAUGGCUCAGAUUGAACGCUGGCGGCAGGCCUAACACAUGCAAGUCGAACGGUAACAGGAAGCAGCUUGCUGCUUCGCUGAC
rnacentral:rRNA from 5 species